UGGAAUGAAAAUUGUGAGGUUAUUCACUUCUUUGGUUCUUCAUUGAACUUAGAACUUAUCAAGGCAACCCUUGUGGCGUUCAAGUGACUUAUCAUCCUGAUUCUAUUAGGGUGUGGCGUCAACAACCUUCUAUACCUUUGGUUCAUGUUUUGCUAAACAUCGGGUCAAGGUUCUAUCUCUUCCAAACUGAUUUUCAGACUUUCUUGGGUUAUUCAUCAACUUGUUCGUGGGUUUCUAAGAAUCUAUCUUACGGGGUUCACAUCACUU
rnacentral:lncRNA from 1 species